AGGACGAACGCUGGCGGCGUGCUUAACACAUGCAAGUCGAACGGUAAGGCCCCUUCGGGGGUACACGAGUGGCGAACGGGUGAGUAACACGUGGGUAAUCUGCCCUGCACUUCGGGAUAAGCCUGGGAAACUGGGUCUAAUACCGGAUAUGAACUCCUGCCGCAUGGUGGGGGUUGGAAAGUUUUUUCGGUGCAGGAUGAGCCCGCGGCCUAUCAGCUUGUUGGUGGGGUAAUGGCCUACCAAGGCGACGACGGGUAGCCGGCCUGAGAGGGUGAUCGGCCACACCGGGACUGAGACACGGCCCAGACUCCUACGGGAGCAGCAGUGGGAAUAUGCACAAUGGGCAAAGCCUGAUGCAGCGACGCCGCGUGAGGGAUGACGGCCUUCGGUUGUAAACCGUCUUUCAGCAGGACGAAGCGCGAAGUGACGGUACCUGCAGAAGAAGCGACCGUCAACUACGUGACCAG
rnacentral:rRNA from 1 species